rnacentral:rRNA from 1 species
UACGGAGGGUGCAAGCAUUAAUCGGAAUUAUUGGGCGUAAAGGGCGCGUAGGCGGAACCGAAAGUCAGAUGUGAAAUUCCGGAGCUCAACUUCGGACCUGCAUUUGAUACUUCGGAUCUAAGAGGAAAGGCGGAGAAAAUGGAAUUCCACGUGUAGCGGUGAAAUGCGUAGAUAUGUGGAAGAACACCGGUGGCGAAAGCGGUUUUCUAGCUUUAACCUGACGCUGAGGCGCGAGAGCAAGGGGAUCAAACAGG